ensembl:miRNA
UGGUCAGGAGCCAUAGGGAGGGAUGCCAAUCCAGCCUUAGGAAAAGAAACCUGUCACGGGAGUCUUGGAGAUUGGUGACCGUCCUAAUGACUUAAGUGGUCAACCCGCC